GAAGUCUUUUAGAAUUCAGUCAAAAGGUUGCCAGUGUACAUAUUUUGCUACUUGUGCAUAAAUAGUAAUUUAAUUUGCUGUUAUGUAUUGCUGACAUAUUCCAGAAACGCCUAUUGGAAGAGUAUACUAAAUUGACCUUUCCUUUACUUAUUAAUUUUACAAGCAGUGUUAGUUAAUUCACUUGAACAAGGUAUUGUUGCCAGUAGUUACCAUUAGAUGUAACCCAAAAUAUCCCAUAAGUGUUAAGAAAGUUUGUCAUUUCAAAAGUGAGAGAGGAGAAAAUAAUAAUAAUAAUAAUAACAAUAAUAAUAAAACAACUCUGCAAUGAAUAAAUAACUGCAACUUGUUAGAUGAAUGCCUGAAGAACACUUAAAUCACCUGGAGAAUCCAGUGCUGGUACAGGUGCUGUGUCUCUGUUCUUAUAAUUUGCAAGUGAAGCCAAUCAAAAUGAUGAAUCAGCUGUUGAAAAGUAAGAAGUUUUGAAGGAAGCAUGCUAGUAAUCUUCCAUUAAUAUAGCAUUUUCAUUCAGAAGAUCUUUAAUUGCUGUAAAAUAAUUCUCCGUAGACUUAGAAGAUGCUAGUAAUUGGUAGAGUUAUUAAUUUGUUUUCUGAAAUGCAGUGCCUUCUGGGGUGAGAAAUAUCUGUUAUGGAACAGGAGUGAAAAUUCACUAAAAGCUGGAAGGCUGAACAGCAAGUAGGCAAAAAAAUAUAUGCUGAAAGUUGUGAUACUUCAAAGGACAUAUAAUCUGCUGUGCUUUUCAAAACCCCAAAAUAGGUGCUCCAUUUAAAUGCACGAUCAAAGUUUAUCAGCCUGCUCUACUUGUACCAUGUUAGGUACAAAAAUUUUUCUUGUCACCUUCUCUGGAUUUCAGAUUGAUCUGUAGAAGAGAGAAGAUGCAAGAAUGCUCUGCAGUUUAGAAGAAAGUUUUCCAGACAGGAGUCUGACAACAAAACAAAAUGCAGUCUCCAACGCCAACCAGGCUGUGCAUUGGUAGACACCGCAGUUUUGAGUACGAAGAAAGGGUUGCCAGUGAAUGUCUACUGCAUUACUGAAAUUUCUGUGAUCUUCAGUGCACUUGAGUGGAAACUUCCUGAUGAUUUGUUGGAUGACAGAUAGCAGAGAGGGCUGUGGACUUGCUACAUCAGUGGAGAGCAGUGGCUCUAUCGCAGAAUGGGGAUUUCUUCUUGGAAGUGCAGGGGUCCGAGGGAAGUGAAUGAGACAGGCCUGGAGCAGGCUUCUGGCAAGUGCUAUGCUUCCAAGGUGCCAGCAGCUACAAGGUUGCUUUUCUUUACAGAUGAAAACAGGCUGAACUCUUGUUUUAGUGUUUCUGCACCUCUUCACCUCCUCCUUUUUUCAAUGAAAAACAGAAUUGUAAGUAGUAACAAUGGUUAUUGGAAGUGGUUUUGCUUAUUCAACCAGCAAGCAACAAAUUCUUACUGUACUAUUGAUCAUAUGCUGUGCUAUAUUUUCACAAUAUGAAAAUAUCAGUCACAAAAAUCACUAUUUAUAAAAUAAUCUGAUAUCUAAGUAUGAAAUGUAUGCUUCUUUUACACUUUUUUAGAAUGGAACUAUAUUUUUGUGGUAAGGCAAUUUACCAAAGUGACACUUACAUUAGCUUUAGCUAAUGUCACAACCUAAUGCCAAGUGAGUUCUCCUAGUACUCUUUUGGUAUUCUCUGAGGCUGUUUUUAUAUUAAAUCUAUUUCAGGUUCUCAUUAUACAGUAUUUGCUGUAAUUAUUAACUUAUUCCUAGAAUUAUAGAAUUAGAGAACCAGAGAAUCAGAGUAUUUGAGGUUUGAGGGGACUUCUGAAGAGCCUAGUCCACCACCUUCCUGUUCA